UACGUAGGGGGCAAGCGUUGUCCGGAUUUACUGGGCGUAAAGAGCGCGCAGGCGGUCGUUCAAGUCGAGUGUGAAAGCCCCCGGCUCAACUGGGGAGGGUCACUCGAUACUGAUCGACUCGAAGGCAGGAGAGGGAAGUGGAAUUCCCGGUGUAGUGGUGAAAUGCGUAGAUAUCGGGAGGAACACCAGUGGCGAAGGCGACUUCCUGGCCUGUUCUUGACGCUGAGGCGCGAAAGCUAGGGGAGCAAACGGGG
rnacentral:rRNA from 1 species